UACAGACCCUAAUAACAUUAUUUCAUAACUGUUUCAUAUAAUCUUUAGUGUCUGAUCGCUUUCUUCAAGAUUUGUACACUUGAUUUCACUGAUGUACUAGCUACUAGUCAAGGUGCUCCAGUUUCCUCCCAUGUUCCCAAGACAUACAGACAUCCACAAAACAGAAAAAAAUACCCCAAAGAAUGAAUGACAGAAACAUCAGAACCCAAAGCCCUUCCCACUCCCACAUACAAGCAACAGCAAGAUCAUCACAAAAGGAUCAGGAGGAGGAAACCGAGGUCCAUGAGCCAGUCCUCAUCGCAGGAGCAGAGGUGGAGAGGGUCAGCAAUGUUAAAUUCCUCAGAGUUAUCACUUCAGAGGACCUGUCCUGGGUCCAGCAGGUGCCGUGGACAAUUCUGAUUUGAUGGAGACAGACGUGAAAGCACAGAGGAACAUCUGGAGAAAUCUCUGAAAUGUCAGUUUGCUGCCGUUGUUACUGCGCGAUCGUGAAAUCUUCCGGAGGGAAGCCCCCAAAAUCCCUGGCUUUGCCUGCUGCUGGCGACCGAGAUGGAGGUUGAAUCGUUUGGAUAGAGAUGGUGCUCUGUACUCGGUGUCGGAGGGCUGAUUGGAGGCUCAAAGUUUUCGGAUGACUCAGAGUCAGACUGUGGUCGGGCAUGGCAGGGAGAGUUUUCUUCCUUCUCCCGUCUGCGUGAGAUGUAGGACAUUUGAGAGACUUUGAACUUUUUACUGUGCCAUGGACUGUUCUUCAUCAAGUUAGGAUAUUGUUGCACUGUUGUAACUAUAUGUUAUAAUUAUGUGGUUUUGUUAGUUUUUUCAGUCUUGGUUUGUCCUGUGUUUUGUGAUAUCACA